rnacentral:rRNA from 1 species
UACGAGGGGGGCAAAUGUUGUUCGGAAUCACUGGGCGUAAAGGGCGCGUAGGCGGGCUUCUAAGUCAGGUGUUUAAUCCCGGGGCCCAACCCCGGACAGGCACUUGAAACUGGGAAUCUUGAAUAGUGGAGAGGUCAGUGGAAUUGGGGGUGUAGCGGUGGAAUGCGUAGAGAUCCCCAAGAACACCAGUUGCGAAGGCGGCUGACUGGACACAUAUUGACGCUGAGGCUCGAAAGCAUGGGGAGCAAACAGG